rnacentral:rRNA from 1 species
UGGGGAAUAUUGCACAAUGGGCGCAAGCCUGAUGCAGCCAUGCCGCGUGUGUGAAGAAGGUCUUCGGAUUGUAAAGCACUUUAAGUUGGGAGGAAGGGCAGUAAGUUAAUACCUUGCUGUUUUGACGUUACCGACAGAAUAAGCACCGGCUAACUCUGUGCCAGCAGCCGCGGUAAUACAGAGGGUGCAAGCGUUAAUCGGAAUUACUGGGCGUAAAGCGCGCGUAGGUGGUUUGUUAAGUUGGAUGUGAAAGCCCCGGGCUCAACCUGGGAACUGCAUCCAAAACUGGCAAGCUAGAGUACGGUAGAGGGUGGUGGAAUUUCCUGUGUAGCGGUGAAAUGCGUAGAUAUAGGAAGGAACACCAGUGGCGAAGGCGACCACCUGGACUGAUACUGACACUGAGGUGCGAAAGCGUGGGGAGCAAACA